rnacentral:rRNA from 1 species
AAUGAAUGUUGGCGGCGUGGAUUAGGCAUGCAAGUCGCACGCUUUAUGUAGCAAUACAUGAGGAGUGGCGUAAGGGAGAGUAAUGCAUGGUUAGCUACCCUUGGGACUGGGAUAGCGGCGGGAAACUGCCGGUAAUACCAGAUGAUAUCUUCGGAUCAAACGUGUGAAACGGCCCAAGGAGGUGACCAUGUCCUAUCAGCUAGUUGGCGGUGUAACGGACCACCAAGGCUAAGACGGGUAUGGGGCGUGAGAGCGUGCCCCCACUCACUGGGACUGAGACACUGCCCAGACACCUACGGGUGGCUGCAGUCGAGAAUCUUCGGCAAUGGGCGCAAGCCUGACCGAGCGACGCCGCGUGCGGGAUGAAGGCCUUCGGGUUGUAAACCGCUGUCGUAGGGGAGGAAGAUCCUGUGAAGAACAGGGUUUGACCGAUCCUAGGAGGAAGGGCCGGCUAAUCUCGUGCCAGCAGCCGCGGAAACAC